AAGCGGAACUUCUCGAUCCCUUUAACUGUGGCACAAUGACAGUCAGAUGUCUGUGUAGACAUCUCUGUGCGGAAGAGGAUGAAGCGGUAGAGGACGAUGCGUAUUCGCAGCAAUCUGUGUGAGUGGAUCAUUGUCACUGCUCUUGGCCGGUGUGGCAACAGAGCUGGUGCCCUUAAUAAAUACAGACUGACGUGGUGAUAAUGACUGGUGACUUAAAUGUGUCCAUGGACCUUAGUAUCUGUCUGCCUGUUCCCCGAUCAAAUUUAUCAUAUUAUAUGGUUAGACCAGCAGUCUACAGUGUGCCAGUAUUUAGACAUGGUGUGAGCAGGCAUGAGUUUAGACCGACUAUUUACAACCAAAUUGUCACUUCUUUAGGCGUAUCUCCAAGGACACACCCUUGCUGUGCCGGAAUGCCCAUCUUGGGGCAGACUGGUCCGCCAAAUUGCGCAGUAAGUCUUACACUUGCACUGAAAUGAGAAUCCAGUGGCAUUUGGGCCCCACCACAGCUGCGAUGUCUGCAAAAAUAGAGCCCUCAAGAGUUGUCUGAAGCUUGCUUGCGUUGUCCUUCUGACUCUUCCUGUGUCAUGUUCUGCUCAUUUCGUGCUCACCCUUUUAUUUUGACGAUCCAAUUCCUGUGACCAAUUUCUUUUGCCUCAGCUUUACAUGCCUCACUAGGACCUCAUUGCUUUCACCUGUUACUUGCUAUAUUUAACCAGCCCUUCACCUCAGUGCCAAAUUGUCACUUGCCGUUGCGGUACUCUCUAGCCUUUUGACCGUGAACCUGUUUCUGGCCCAAGCUGUUCUCUGACGCUGCUUGGCACGUGACUGGAUUUUACCUGUCUCCUCCAGCGGACCUGUUAUCCUCAACCCUUGCUAAAGCGCCACAUCACCCUCUGCCACACCUAAUUGGUUACAAGGAAGCCUCCCUCCAGUGAUAGUAAGGCCUGAACUCCAUCCACCACUUGGGCCCCACUGGCAUUAAAGAAAUCUUACGCUGACACUUGGCCAAUUAAAAACUUUUAAUUUCUCUUGUGGUGCUGUGUUUUGCAUUAGAGUCCAAACCGGUAUUGUGACACUCUCCUGUCUAAGGUCAAGAGCAGGCUUUCAUCCAGGAUGUCUCUGUAUAUUGCAUUCAUCGCUUCCUCCAUCCUGAUUAGUCUCCCAGUUCUUGCUGUUGAAAAUAAUUCCCACAGCAUGAUGCUGCCACCACCAUGGUUCACAGUAGGGAUGGUAUUGGCCAGGUGAUGAGCGGAGCAUAGUUUCCUCCAUAGAUCAACUUUGGAAUUAAUGCCAAAGACUUAAAUCUUUGCCUCCUCAAACCAGAGAAUUUUGUCUCUCAUGCUCUGAGAGCCUUGGGCAAAGUACACGUGGGCCGACAUGUACCUUUCACUCAGGAGUGGCUUCCGUCUGGCCACUCGACCAUAAAAGCCUAAUUGUUGGAUUGUUGAAGAGAUGGUUGUCCUUCUGGAAAAGUUAUCCUCUUUCCACAGAGGAAUGCUGGAGCUCUCACCGUGACAAUCCGGUUACCUCCCGCACCAAGAACCUUCUCCCCCAAUCACUUAAGUGUCGACAGGUGGGCAGCUUUCAGAAGAGUCCUCCAUUCACGGAUAAUGAAUGUGCUCAUUGGCAGCUUCAAAACCACAGGCAUUUUUGUAAACCAUUUGCCAGAACUGUCCCUUGUGGAAGUUUACAAUUUGUUUGACUUCAUGCUUGGUUGGUUUGUCAACUGUGGGAUGUCUUAUAUAGACAGGUGUGGACCUUUUACAUUUUGUCCAAUCAAUUGAAUUUAACAAAGGUCGAUUUCAAUUAAACUGUCAAAAGAUCCCAAGGAUGAUCAGCAGAAACAGGAUGCACCAGAGGUCAAUUUUGAUGGCUACUUAUGUAGUUGCGUAUGUGAUUUCUCUUUUUGUUCGGCACUUGCAAAAUCUUUUUUCAUACUGUCACUAUGAGUUGAACAAAUGCAUAAUGAAUCAAUUUUCAAACAAGGCUGUAAAAUAAAAAGUGAACCACUGUGAAUAAUUUCUGGAUGUGCUUUCCAUCAUCACUCACUGCAUGUCAGAAUAUACAGUAUGUUAAAAGAUUAAAAUAGAAUGUAAUAAAAAUAAAUGAAAGAAGACUAAAUACCUACUAUUUGUAGCUGGGCAAUGAAAAAUAAGCAUGUCAGGUUCUGAAAACUCAGCUGUUGGUGUACUGGGUUGAUUGUGAAAAUGCAAUUAAAAUCCAGUCUUCAAUGUCUUUUGAUUGAAUGUAAUUAAAUUAUCCAACAGAAGAAAAACAAAUUACCAGCCCUUUUGAAACAUAUUAAAGCCUGGAAAAUAAUAGCUCACUUGACUCAAAGAAGUCACAUUAUAUCGUUUGAUUACAUUUUAAUCUGUUGACCAUAUGUUCUGCUAUUAAGUGCUAAGAACGUGUUUAAAAAUAACAAACAAAUUCAAAGUUAAAUGCUUUUCACUGGAGAGCAAAGAUAUGUAAAGGUAUCAUAGUUGUUGAACAAAACAAUCAGGUUCCGAUAACAAGGUCAGCGUAAAUUA